GACGAACGCUGGCGGCGUGCUUAACACAUGCAAGUCGAACGGAAAGGCCCUGCUUUUGUGGGGUGCUCGAGUGGCGAACGGGUGAGUAACACGUGAGUAACCUGCCCUUGACUUUGGGAUAACUUCAGGAAACUGGGGCUAAUACCGGAUAGGAGCUCCUGUUGCAUGGUGGGGGUUGGAAAGUUUCGGCGGUUGGGGAUGGACUCGCGGCUUAUCAGCUUGUUGGUGGGGUAGUGGCUUACCUAGGCUUUGACGGGUAGCCGGCCUGAGAGGGUGACCGGCCACAUUGGGACUGAGAUACGGCCCAGACUCCUACGGGAGGCAGCAGUGGGGAAUAUUGCACAAUGGGCGGAAGCCUGAUGCAGCAACGCCGCGUGCGGGAUGACGGCCUUCGGGUUGUAAACCGCUUUCGCCUGUGACGAAGCGUGAGUGACGGUAAUGGGUAAAGAAGCACCGGCUAACUACGUG
rnacentral:rRNA from 1 species